CAGUAGCCGCGGUAAUACGGAGGGGGCUAGCGUUGUUCGGAAUUACUGGGCGUAAAGCGCACGUAGGCGGCUUGGUAAGUUAGAGGUGAAAGCCCGGAGCCCAACUCCGGAAUUGCCUCUAAGACUGCCGAGCUAGUAGGUGAGAGAGGUAAGUGGAAUUCCGAGUGUAGAGGUGAAAUUCGCAGAUAUUCGGAAGAACACCAGUGGCGAAGGCGGCUUACUGGCUCAUUCUAGACGCUGAGGUGCGAAAGCGUGGGGAGCAAACAGGAUUAGAUACCCCUGUAGUCCCUGUCUCUUAUAC
rnacentral:rRNA from 1 species